GGGCAGGCGCGGGAGGUGCGACCUGGGGGCGGUUGGGGUUCACCGCCUCGUGCCGUACUGGCUUCUGGGUGGCCCUUAAUGUCUUGUGCUCUAAGGUGCUGAGGGGAAAGACGCGGGAGGUCUCUGGCCUGACACUAUGAAGGAAGAGAGAAACUACAACUUCGACGGUGUGAGCACCAACCGCCUGAAACAGCAGUUGCUGGAAGAAAUCCGCAAGAAGGAUGCAGUGCAACUCUCAAUAUUUGAACUAAGACACAAGAUUACGGAACUGGAAGCCAAACUCAAUACUGACAAUGAAGGUAGUGAAUGGAAAACCCGUUAUGAGACACAACUUGAAUUAAAUGAUGAACUAGAAAAGCAAAUUGUUUAUCUCAAGGAGAAAGUGGAAAAAAUCCAUGGAAACUCUUCAGAAAGUAUGAGGUUUGCAGUCCAGGGGUGGUGCAGUGGCUGUAUAAUGCCUUCAGGAAUCCAGGCUUCCCCUAAGUUUCUACUCUGCCAUCCAUUUGAAUCCUUAAACACAUUACUUAAACAGCUAGAAGAAGAAAAGAGGACUCUUGAAAGUCAAGUGAAAUACUAUGCACUUAAACUGGAACAAGAAUCAAAGGCUUACCAGAAGAUCAACAAUGAACGUCGUACAUACCUAGCUGAAAUGUCUCAGGGUUCUGGUUUACAUCAAGUUUCUAAAAGGCAACAGAUGGAUCAACUGCCUAGGAUGCAAGAGAAUCUAGUGAAAACGGAAUUUAUAGCUAAGGAAUACAAAGCAAAAUCAACAAAGGCAUAAGGCACAUGGGAUGAAUUCUCAGAAAACUAGGCUCAAGCUUCUGAAAGUUUUCUCCAAGUUAGGGUCACAUAAGAAAUACUUAAUUCCUCCAGCAAAAAAUUGCAACAACAGUUUUAAAGUGACUAAAAGCCCUAAAGGAAGAAAAUAACCAAGGAGCCAUUGGUACCCUGGAGCAAAAGAACCUGAGGGAAAUUGAUACUAGGACUUGCUUCCUCUUAAAAGAAGAAUUGGACCCUUUAAAGGUCAGCUGCUUGGAGACAUUGGGUUUCAGUGCUGCAGGUGUGGCUGGACCAGAGAAUAGGACAUGCCUCGGACAAAAAGCACUCUGGCCCGCCUGCUUACAUGGGUCCUCAACCUUGGCUGUGUGUCAGACUCACCUGAAGAGCUAAAACUAAAAUACUCAGACAUGUGCACCACCCCCAGGAUUGUGAUCUCACAUGAAUUUCUUUAAGCCUUCCCCAGGAAAUUGUGCAGAAAAGAUUGGGACCCACUCUGCUGGUUUAGUGUGGCUUCAUCUCUCAAACUGAAUGAAACUUCUUCCAACUCUCCUC